UACAGAGGUGGCAAGCGUUGUUCGGAAUUACUGGGCGUAAAGGGCGCGUAGGCGGCUCGACAAGUCCCGCGUGAAAGCCCCCGGCUCAACUGGGGAACUGCGCGGGAAACUGUCGGACUUGAGUUCGGGAGAGGGAAGCGGAAUUCCGGGUGUAGCGGUGAAAUGCGUAGAUAUCCGGAGGAACACCGGUGGCGAAGGCGGCUUCCUGGACCGACACUGACGCUGAGGCGCGAAAGCCAGGGGAGCGAACGGG
rnacentral:rRNA from 1 species